UAGGGAAUCUUCGGCAAUGGGGGCAACCCUGACCGAGCAACGCCGCGUGAGUGAAGAAGGUUUUCGGAUCGUAAAGCUCUGUUGUAAGAGAAGAACGUGUGUGAGAGUGGAAAGUUCACACAGUGACGGUAACUUACCAGAAAGCCACGGCUAACUACGUGUCAG
rnacentral:rRNA from 1 species